rnacentral:lncRNA from 1 species
UUUGAUGAAGAGCUCCAAAGAUAGCUUUAAGUGAACUUUCAAAGUCCAGCCCUCAGUGAGGCCAGAAAUCACUAGAAAUCUCAUUUAAACUUUCCCUCCUCGUUCUCAAGCAAAUUUACAACAGCGGCCAGUACUUUUGCAAGAUCGCUGGAGAGAAUUCAUCAUCAGAAUAGAGAUUGCAAGACCAUCACGAUGACUUCACGUCAGUGCCAGCAUAUGCAGCCGUGGAAUACAGUGAGCGCUCUCUGCGGCUGACAGCAAUAGCGGUGAUCUAAUUUACCCGGCGACUGGAAGAAACUCUUUGUACAGGCUCUGGGUCCCUUUGGAUUAGUGACUUCAAGGUCAACUGGAGGAGAAAGGAAGCAGGGCUGAGGGUCACCCUCUCCUGUCUCAUUUGCAUGCUCUUGAAUAUAUGAUUUUAAGAAACAUGCGUUUUUGAUCUGCAAUGUAAAAAUUCCUCAAUGAUUUUUUGUACAGAUGUGCAGAAUACAGGAAUGAAAUAAAAUAUUGAGAAUUUGUGGCCUCAC